AUAUAACUAGGCGGAGGAAAAGAAAUUAACGAAGAUUUCCUUAGUAACGGCGAGUGAACGGGAAAUAGUCCAGCGCUGAAUCCCUUAGUCCAUGAUUAAGGGACCUGUGGCGUGAAGGAGAGCCUAUCUGUCGGGUCGUCAGCUUCGGAAGCUCCCUCGAAUGGGACCCCAAAGCAGGUGCGAGGCCUGUGCCGAAGUAGCGCUCGUCAGUUUGCGCCUCCGUAGAGUCGGGUUGCUUGGGAGUGCAGCCCAAAGUGGAAGGUAAACCCCUUCUAAGACUAAAUAUUACCACGAGACCGAUAGCGCACAAGUA
rnacentral:rRNA from 1 species